UACGGAGGGGGCUAGUGUUGUUCGGAAUUACUGGGCGUAAAGCGCACGUAGGCGGCUUUGUAAGUUAGAGGUGAAAGCCCGGGGCUCAACUCCGGAAUUGCCUUUAAGACUGCAUCGCUAGAAUUGUGGAGAGGUAAGUGGAAUUCCGAGUGUAGAGGUGAAAUUCGUAGAUAUUCGGAAGAACACCAGUGGCGAAGGCGACUUACUGGUCCAUGACUGACGCUGAGGCUCGAAAGCGUGGGGAGCAAACAGG
rnacentral:rRNA from 1 species